UCAAGGUAUAGCAGUCUAACACAACCCUUUAUUACGUUCAUGGAUUUUGUGUUUCAGGAGUUCGAACAGGGCAGAGGAAGAACGGCACUUCUGACAUCAGAGGCUCCAGCUGAAAGGUUCCAAAUCUAGGAGCUGGAGUCCAUGACUCACAGGAAGAGAAGAUUAAGACACAGAGAUACCAGAGAGGUCGUUCACAGAGGAAAGACCAUGUGAAGACGCAGUGAGAAGGUGGCCAUAUUCAAGCUGAGGAGAGAGACCUCAGAAGAAACCAAUACUGCCAACGCCUUGGUCUUGGACUUCCAGCCUCCAGAACUGUCCUGGAUCAGAAGAUGCCUGACAAGAGGCCACUAUCAGCAGCAACAGCACAGUGGGGACAAACCUGAGACCUUGAUGGACCGUGGACACCAGCAGGAGAGACAGAGGAACUUGAAGUCUAAAUGGGCAGACAAGACCAACAUACACAAAGCAGAGAGUGGCACAAGAGCCAUGUCUGAUGCAACAGUGACUCAGGAGGAUCACUCUGACUCAGAAUGGCCAAGCAAAGGUAUUGGGAGGAAGUGGGAUAGAACUGAGCUUUGAAGACCGUGCUAAAAUAUUUACAGACUCCCCAGGUUAUCUCAAGUUCUCUCCAGGAAUUAGCUUCACCUCUUUGUGCUUUGGCUCCACAUCAGUUAAAUAGUGGUAACGUUUGAUCGUUAAGAACCAUGUAGAGAUGAAACAAUUUUCAAAGUUUUUUAAUUAAGUGUACUCAUUGCCACUCAAAGACAAAUACCAUAUAAAUAUAAUAAUAAUCAUAUUGAGAAACAAAAUAGCAAUGAUGCAGAUACUCAUGUACUGUUUCAUGUUUGUGGUCUUUGAGGGGAGUUUUUACUCAAAUAUCCCUAGAUGAAUAAAUACAUAUGGUCUAUAAA
rnacentral:lncRNA from 1 species